ACUCCUACGGGAGGCAGCAGUGGGGAAUAUUGCACAAUGGGGAAACCCUGAUGCAGCCAUGCCGCGUGUGUGAAGAAGGCCUCGGUUGUAAAGCACUUCAGUAGGAGGAAGGUAGUGUAGUUAACACCUGCAUAUUUGUACGUUACCUACAGAAGAAGCACCGGCUAACUCCGUGCCAGCAGCCGCGGUAAUACGGAGGGGUGCGAGCGUUAAUCGGAAUUACUGGGCGUAAAGCGCAUGCAGGCGGCCUGUUAAGUCAGAUGUGAAAGCCCGGGGGCUUAACCUCGGAAUUGCAUUUGAAACUGGCAGGCUAGAGUCUGUAGAGGGGGUAGGAAUUUCAGGUGUAGCGGUGAAAUGCGUAGAGAUCUG
rnacentral:rRNA from 1 species